UGGGCUGUAGCUCAGUGGUGGAGCACUCAUCUGGCACAUGUGAGGCAUUGGGUUUGAUCCUCAGCACCACAU
rnacentral:tRNA from 1 species